GACAGAGGGUGCAAGCGUUGUUCGGAAUUAUUGGGCGUAAAGGGCGCGUAGGCGGCCUCGUAAGUCAGAUGUGAAAUCCCAGGGCUUAACCCUGGAAGUGCAUCUGAUACUGCAAGGCUUGAGUCCUGGAGAGGGUGGUGGAAUUCCCAGUGUAGAGGUGAAAUUCGUAGAUAUUGGGAGGAACACCAGUGGCGAAGGCGGCCACCUGGACAGAGACUGACGCUGAGGCGCGAAAGCGUGGGGAGCAAACAGG
rnacentral:rRNA from 1 species